rnacentral:rRNA from 1 species
GAUGAACGCUGGCGGCGUGCCUAAUACAUGCAAGUAGAACGCUGAAGGAAGGAGCUUGCUCUUUCCGGAUGAGUUGCGAACGGGUGAGUAACGCGUAGGUAACCUGCCUGGUAGCGGGGGAUAACUAUUGGAAACGAUAGCUAAUACCGCAUAACAGUAGAUGUUGCAUGAUAUCUACUUAAAAGGUGCAAUUGCACCACUACCAGAUGGACCUGCGUUGUAUUAGCUAGUUGGUGAGGUAACGGCUCACCAAGGCGACGAUACAUAGCCGACCUGAGAGGGUGAUCGGCCACACUGGGACGGGGACACGGCCCAGACUCCUACGGGAGGCAGCAGUAGGGAAUCUUCGGCAAUGGACGGAAGUCUGACCGAGCAACGCCGAGUGAGUGAAGAAGGUUUUCGGAUCGUAAGGCUCUGUUGUAAGAGAAGAACGAGUGUGAGAGUGGAAAGUUCACACUGUGACGGUAUCUUACCAGAAAGGGACGGCUAACUACGUG